GAUGAACGCUAGCUACAGGCUUAACACAUGCAAGUCGAGGGGAAACGAUGAGAGAGCUUGCUCUCUUAGGCGUCGACCGGCGCACGGGUGAGUAACGCGUAUCCAACCUACCCAUUACAGGGGGAUAACCUUGCGAAAGUAAGACUAAUACCCCAUGGCAUUUUAUGGUGGCAUCAUUAUAGGAUUAAAGAUUUAUUGGUCAUGGAUGGGGAUGCGUCUGAUUAGCUUGUUGGCGGGGUAACGGCCCACCAAGGCAACGAUCAGUAGGGGUUCUGAGAGGAAGGUCCCCCACAUUGGAACUGAGACACGGUCCAAACUCCUACGGGAGGCAGCAGUGAGGAAUAUUGGUCAAUGGGCGAGAGCUUGAACCAGCCAAGUAGCGUGCAGGAUGACGGCCCUAUGGGUUGUAAACUGCUUUUAUAGGGGAAUAAAGUGAGCUACGUGUAGUUUAUUGCAUGUACCCUAUGAAUAAGGACCGGCUAAUUCCGUG
rnacentral:rRNA from 1 species